rnacentral:rRNA from 1 species
UACGGAGGGAGCUAGCGUUGUUCGGAAUUACUGGGCGUAAAGCGCGCGUAGGCGGCUUUUGUAAGUUAGAGGUGAAAGCCCCGGGGGCUCAACCCCCGGAACUGCCUUUUAAGACUGCAUCGCUUGAAUCCGGGAGAGGUGAGUGGAAUUCCGAGUGUAGAGGUGAAAUUCGUAGAUAUUCGGAAGAACACCAGUGGCGAAGGCGGCUCACUGGACCGGUAUUGACGCUGAUGUGCGAAAAGCGUGGGGGAGCAAAACAGG